GACAGCGGAGCUAGAAGGAGAAACAAAAAAAAAAAAGCAUGUUUGGGACGUCACGGUGACGUCACGGCAGAGCGGAGAACUACAGAUCCCGGCGGGCUGUGCGCGGCCAGGAAAGGGAGCCUGCUACAAUGAAGCUGUACUGCUUGUCCGGCCAUCCUACGCUGCCAUGCAACAUCCUGAAGUUCAAGUCCACGACCAUCAUGCUGGACUGCAGCCUGGACAUGACCUCCGUCCUCAGCUUUCUCCCGCUCCCUCUGGUGCACAGCACUCGUCUGUCCAAAUUGCCCGGCUGGAUCUCAAAGGAUGGAAGUGCCCAGCUGGAGAAGGAACUGAAGGAGUGCUCAGGACAUGUAUUUGUGGACUCUGUGCCCGAAUUCUGCCUCCCAGAAACGCAGCUCAUAGAUCUGUCUACUGUAGAUGUGAUCCUAAUCUCUAACUAUCACUGUAUGAUGGCACUGCCAUACAUCACCGAGCACACCGGAUUCACCGGCACCGUCUACGCCACCGAGCCCACCGUACAGAUCGGCAGGUUGCUCAUGGAAGAACUGGUUAAUUUCGUGGAACGGGUCCCGAAGGCGCAGUCCGCCACCAUGUGGAAGCACAAGGACAAUCAGAGGCAGCUGCCGCCCCCCCUGAAGGACGCUGUCGAGGUUUUCACGUGGCGCAAGUGUUACACGAUGCAGGAGGUGAACGCCGCGCUCAGCAAGAUACAGCUCGUGGGGUACUCCCAGAAAAUAGAGCUUUUUGGUGCCGUACAGGUGACGCCGCUCAGUUCCGGUUAUGCUCUCGGCAGCUCGAAUUGGAUUAUUCAGUCCCAUUAUGAAAAGGUCUCUUAUGUGUCGGGGUCUUCACUUCUAACUACCCACCCACAGGCAAUGGAUCAGACAUCUCUUAAGAACAGUGACGUCCUCAUCCUCACCGGUCUCACCCAGAUUCCCACUGCCAAUCCAGACGGCAUGGUGGGCGAGUUCUGCAGUAAUCUGGCAAUGACGAUUCGUAAUGGCGGUAACGUGCUGGUGCCGUGCUACCCCUCUGGCGUCAUCUACGACCUCCUGGAGUGCCUGUUCCAGUACAUCGACUCUGCCGGACUCUCCAACGUCCCCUUCUACUUCAUUUCUCCCGUGGCCAACAGCUCCCUCGAGUUCUCCCAGAUCUUUGCUGAGUGGCUCUGCCACAACAAGCAGAAUAAGGUCUACCUCCCAGAACCUCCAUUUCCUCAUGCCGAGUUGAUCCAGACCAAUAAACUGAAGCAUUAUCCCAACAUCCACGGCGACUUCAGUAACGACUUCAAGCAGCCGUGCGUGGUGUUUACGGGUCACCCCACCCUGCGCUUCGGAGACGUGGUGCAUUUCAUGGAGCUGUGGGGGAAGUCCAGCCUGAACACCAUCAUCUUCACCGAGCCGGACUUCUCUUACCUGGACGCCCUGGCUGCGUACCAGCCGCUGGCCAUGAAAUGCGUCUACUGCCCCAUCGACACUCGUCUCAAUUUCAUCCAAGUGUCAAAGCUUCUCAAGGAAGUCCAGCCCCUCCAUGUUGUGUGCCCUGAACAGUACACCCAGCCACCGGCGUCUCAGUCCCACCGCUCCGACCUUAUGAUCGACUGUCUGCCGCCUCCCAUGUCCUAUCGCCGGGCAGAGGUGCUGACCCUGCCCUUCAAGAGGCGCUAUGAGAAGAUAGAAAUCAUGCCAGAGCUGGCGGAGUCCCUGGUGCCCAAGGAGAUUAAACCCGGAGUUUCCCUGGCUAUGGUGUCUGCCGUUCUCUAUACCAAAGACAACAAGCAUGUCCUGCAGCCUCCACCUAAGGCCGCGGCGCCAGCCCAGUCCAGCAAGAAGAGGAAGCGAGCCACUGAGGAGAAUCCAGAGAGCCAGCAAUGCAAGCCACUGCUGAGCGGCUCCAUCCCCGUGGAACAGUUCGUCCAAACUCUGGAGAAACACGGUUUCUCAGACGUGAAGAUUGAAGACACUUCCAAGGGCCACAUGCUGCACUUACAAGAGGCGGACACUCUUAUCCAGUUCGAGGAGGAUUCCACACACAUCAUCUGUGAACACGACGAGCGCCUGAGGGUCAAACUCCGGGACCUGGUCCUCAAGUUCCUACAAAAGUUCUAGACGAGAGGAUUUGCUGAGUGCAAUCUGCAGCAGAUGCAAUUCUCGUGGUGGCCACUAGAGGGCGCAGUGUGAUUAUGCUGGAACCAGCAGUAGCUUCUGGGGUGGCCAGACUGGCGGCGUGUGGUUGUAGAGCUAGUCACAUAAUGGACUGUAGGGGGAGUGUUACAUAUGUAAAUCCACGCUUGUGUACAGCACAGAGUAUUUGUAGCUCAAUUUUUGUACAAAAAAUGAUUUUUUUUAUUUUUUUUUUAAAUAUUUAAAUAUAAAAAAAUAUUCUUUCUGUCAUUUAUGUUGAGAAUGAAUAUUAUCAUCCUCUGUGUAUUCUGCUUUGUAUGGGGAGGCUAUAGAAUUGUGUUUUAUUAUUUUUCUUAAAGGGAACCAGCUACUAGUACUAGAUCCCUUUAAAUUAUGCUUUAUGGAUGAUGGGUGCUGUAGUACCCUAUAAAUAGCCCCUCUGAUGGGCCGCUUGUACACUUGCUCAGCUGUCUGCAGAAAUCCUAUAGAAGAGAGUAGAGCUUGAUGGGAGUUGUAGUUUCACAACAGCUGGAUUGCAAAAGGUUGCUGACCCCUACUCCAUGCCGGUCUUUGUAAAUGAUUGUAUGCUCCAUGAGUUCACAAUUCUGGAGCAUUUUUUUUCUUAGAAUGUUGCAUUGUGCUGUUCCUCCACUAUUCCUCCUAGAUGCUUAUGAACAAAUUAACAACUGGUUUUUACCCUUCCCUUAGGGAUGUAUUCCUAUACAAUCUUACACUGUUAGCACUGAUUGAACAAUGUCCGGGUAUGUAGGGACACACCCUCAACUGGUAAAACCCCGCUUUCUAUUUAUUUAUACCUUCUUUUUAGAGGAAUAAUAGAGGAAUGGCACAACUCAGUUCUAAGUUCAUGCAGCAUACAAGCAUUUACUAAGUACAUCAGGGGAGGCAAUGCGACCAUCAAGGAUAUUAACUUCUGAAAUGUCCUACGCUGCAGGGGACACUAUGACCUAAAAACCCUUAGACCACCUGGGAUAUUAAUCCCUGAAACACUAGACCACCAUUUAUUAAGCCCAAUACAUUGUAUAUUGCCAGGAACAUUAACCCUCAAUGCACUCUGUUUCUGUGGUCUUUAAGUACUUUAAGUAAAUUGUGUUUUUGUGCGAUGACCCCCUUUAAGGAUAUCCCAUAGUGAGAACAUCUGUGGAAAUGAACAAGCCCUCCCCUGGACCACCAGGAAUAUUACCCCCCCUGAAACUGGAUGAGCAGGGACAGUAAAGGUGUAUUCCCAUGUGUUGGGCCUGAUAUCCCAGCCCCCACCAUUCUUAAGUGGUAAGUGCAAAAAUACCUGGGCAUUUAAUCCUUUGAGUCCCAGAGCGAGUUUUCCCGCGCGGGUGCAAUUCGUGAUGCGAACGCAUAGCACCCGCACUGAAUCCGGACCCAUUCAUUUCUAUGGG